GUAAAGGGCUCGCAGGCGGUUUCUUAAGUCUGAUGUGAAAGCCCCCGGCUCAACCGGGGAGCGUCAUUGGAAACUGGGGAACUUGAGUGCAGAAGAGGAUAGUGGAAUUCCACGUGUAGCGGUGAAAUGCGUAGAUAUGUGAAGGAACACCAGUGGCGAAGGCGACUCUCUGGACUGUAACUGACGCUGAGGAGCGAAAGCGUGGGGAGCGAACAGGAUUAGAUACCCUGGUAGUCCACGCCGUAAACGAUGAGUGCUAGGCGUUAGGGUCUUUCCGCCUUUUAUGGCUGAACUAAAGCCUUUAGGCACUCGGCUGGGGAAUACCGCCGGCAAGAUUGAAUUUAAAAGAAAUUGCCGGGGCCCGCAAAAGCGGUUG
rnacentral:rRNA from 1 species